rfam:Emiliania huxleyi CCMP1516 EMIHTscaffold_45_Cont1821, whole genome shotgun sequence.
CCACAGGUGUUUCUAAACACCACCCUCCUCUGAAGAAGUGUGUGU